rnacentral:rRNA from 1 species
GCGCGCGAUACAGGGUGACAGCCCCGUACACAAAAGCGCAUGUGCUGUGAGCUCGAUGAGUAGGGCGGGACACGUGGUAUCCUGUCUGAAUAUGGGGGGACCAUCCUCCAAGGCUAAAUACUCCUGACUGACCGAUAGUGAACCAGUACCGUGAGGGAAAGGCGAAAAGAACCCCGGCGAGGGGAGUGAAAAAGAACCUGAAACCGUGUACGUACAAGCAGUGGGAGCACCCUUUGGGGUGUGACUGCGUACCUUUUGUAUAAUGGGUCAGCGACUUAUAUUCUGUAGCAAGGUUAACCGAAUAGGGGAGCCGGAGGGAAACCGAGUCUUAACCGGGCGUUAAGUUGCAGGGUAUAGACCCGAAACCCGGUGAUCUAGCCAUGGGCAGGUUGAAGGUUGGGUAACACUAACUGGAGGACCGAACCGACUAAUGUUGAAAAAUUAGCGGAUGACCUGUGGCUGGGGGUGAAAGGCCAAUCAAACCGGGAGAUAGCUGGUUCUCCCCGAAAGCUAUUUAGGUAGCGCCUCGUGAAUUCAUCUCCGGGGGUAGAGCACUGUUUCGGCUAGGGGGCCAUCCCGGCUUACCAACCCGAUGCAAACUGCGAAUACCGGAGAAUGUUAUCACGGGAGACACACGGCGGGUGCUAACGUCCGUCGUGAAGAGGGAAACAACCCAGACCGCCAGCUAAGGUCCCAAAGUCAUGGUUAAGUGGGAAACGAUGUGGGAAGGCCCAGACAGCCAGGAUGUUGGCUUAGAAGCAGCCAUCAUUUAAAGAAAGCGUAAUAGCUCACUGGUCGAGUCGGCCUGCGCGGAAGAUGUAACGGGGCUAAACCAUG